rnacentral:rRNA from 1 species
UACGUAGGGCGCAAGCGUUGUCCGGAAUUAUUGGGCGUAAAGAGCUCGUAGGCGGCUUGUCACGUCGGGUGUGAAAGACCGGGGCUUAACCCCGGUUCUGCAUUCGAUACGGGCUGGCUGGAGUGUGGUAGGGGAGAUCGGAAUUCCUGGUGUAGCGGUGAAAUGCGCAGAUAUCAGGAGGAACACCGGUGGCGAAGGCGGAUCUCUGGGCCAUUACUGACGCUGAGGAGCGAAAGCGUGGGGAGCGAACAGG